UCUAUCAGUUAUAAGUGCACAGUACUGGUUAAAUGAUAUUGUACUUAAAAGUUUGUUUAAACAGAAAGAGCAGAAAAGGCAUAAAUUGAUAGUAUAUCAGCAACCAUAUACAGUCUUUGAUUGACCUCUGAGAGAAGUUAUACAUGUCAUUAAUAGAAAGGAGAAAUCAUUGAUAAGUGAUGCAUCUUGAUAAAUAAUAAAUAUGAGAACAACUAAAGGAAUGAAAUCAUGAACAACUACAGGAAUGAAAUCAUGACCAGUCGUUGAUCAACCACAAAACUCGCUCUAAACCUUGGCUGAUAAAAAACAGUUGACAGAUGAAGCAUAUUGGCAAUAUGGCACUCAUCAACAAACAUGGACUUGGCAUCUUGAACAGAAACAAAAGAAACUGGAAUGCAUACUGAAAUCAAUCUCCUCAGAAAAUAACCAUGGAUGUCAG
rnacentral:misc_RNA from 1 species